GUUCAAAUACAGUUGAAGCCUUUCUGAUGAGCUGUGCAGCAGGUCUGGAUGUGAGGAUGAAGAACGCUCUGCUCUGCAUGCUGGGCUUUUUCUCGCUCUGGUCUUUCAUAUCUGCACGGUAUUAUGGAGCAACAAUGCAGGGACAGCACAAAGGAGACAGGAAAAGGAGAGGAUAGUGCAACUGGGC